CCCGGUGUCCGCUUAGCCUUACCACAGUACAUGAUUGUUGAUUUUUGUGGUUGAUUUUGGCUCCUGAGACUUCUCCAUAUGUCUGAGUCUUGAUACCUUCUACAUUGUCAUCCUCCAUAAUGAGGAGACCCAGCGGCUCCGCAACCAGGCUGUAGAGCAAAGAYGACAGCGGACAGCCCUGUCGAAUUGAGCGCCGAAGAUGGAAAAGAUCCGUAAGGCCAUCAAUGGCCUGCUGGACUUCAACCUCAGUCACUGGAGCAUCACACAUAAGACUAUCUGCUUUGGUCAUCAGCAUGCUCAGCCUGCUCACGGAGGUUCUGGAGCAGGGUGCAGAUUUCACCUCUGUACCCUUCAUCCUGGAGAAGGGAGGCAUUUAGACACCAAAAACCUCCAUUUCUGGUACCCCGUCCCAUCUCAACUUCAAGAAAGGUAUGGUCACUCCAGCUGUUGUCUCGGAUGCGGCAGGACAUCACCUCAGGGAUAGUAGAAAACGACAUGAGACAGAUCUAUACGAGACUGCUUUAAUUUACCCAUUACUACCUGUUUUCUAGUAAACAGAUUUUUACUUGGAUGAAAAACUCUCCAGAGAUCUACUAAACUAUUGUUGUAAAUUAGAUUGUAUAACGUGUUUCUGCUGCUGUCCUCUGGAAAGACAGUUUCUCGAGAUGUCAGCCCUGGUGAGAGCCACAUUAAAAUCACCCAUGAUUAUACAACAGCUUGUAACCCAUUUUCCAAUAUCUAAGAAAAACAUUUUCCUUUGAGUAUCAUUUGCAGCAUAUAAAUUUAUAAUUCUAUAAGUCUGACUAUUAAAUGUGAAGUCAGCAAUGAUUAAUCUUCCUCUUUAUCUUUGUGAACCAGUCUACUUGUAUGCGCAAACUCUUCUCUAAAAAGAAUGGCUACUCUGCUGCUUUAUCGUCUGAUACUGAAAAGAAAAUGGUUCCCUCCCACUUUUUCUCUACUUCCUGAGCUCUUUUCUCAUCCCAUUUUGUCUCCUGCAGACACAGGAUAUCAAACCUAGAUUGCUGUAAAAUGGCUUUUAACUUUUCCUUCCUGCAUAACCCACGGGCAUUAAGCGAGAGUAGUGUUAACAGGAUUAAAGAAAGAAGAACCAUUUUCUUUUACAACACUUUGUUUUUUUUUUCUUGGACCCAAUGUGACUGAUCUUUUUCUAUUGUUUAUGAUGUCUGUGAGUUCAGGUUUCAUGUCUGGUUCUGAAUGAGAAUCAAUCUGUCGGCUGGGUCCAGGCUGAGGGGUCUGAGAAGAAUGCAGGUGCUGUGGCGAGUCAUCCGAUUGGCACUGGGGGAAUAAGGCCGGUGGUACCAGGGUGUGACGAGGUAGCACCCUCAUCCCACCUCUCUCCCUCCCGUGCCCCACCUGAGCCAGCCUCUGGGACUGUCUUUACAGGGCCAUGCCUGGAAGGUCAGCUGUUGCUGCAACCUCCUUACCAUCCCCAAGACUCACUCUGGAGCGUGCCUUGGUACAGCAAUGACUGUCCUCUUCCUCUUCCUCUGACUCUAUGCCCUCUUCCAUAUCACUUUCCUGGAUACUACUUGCUCCCAAACCAUUCAUCUCAUCCCCAGACACAUUUUUCAUCCUCACUAGCCACACAAACACAGCUCUCUAAUUCAUUAAAACAUGUUUGGUACUUCUUGCUCAUUUUCCUCUUUGCACACUCUCUUGCAUAAUGUUCCUGUU